ACUGCUCAGUAACACGUGGACAACCUGCCCUUAGGACGGGGAUAAACCCGGGAAACUGGGUACAAUACCCGAUAGGUCUCGAUUGCUGGAAUGCAUCGAGAUUUAAAGCUCCGGCGCCUAAGGAUGGGUCUGCGGCCUAUCAGGUAGUAGUGGGUGUAGCGUACCUACUAGCCUACGACGGGUACGGGUUGUGAGAGCAAGAGCCCGGAGAUGGAUUCUGAGACACGAAUCCAGGCCCUACGGGGUGCAGCAGGCGCGAAAACUUUACAAUGCUGGCAACAGCGAUAAGGGAACCUCGAGUGCCAGGUUACAAAUCUGGCUGUCGAGAUGCCUAAAAAGCAUUUCAUAGCAAGGGCCGGGCAAGACCGGUGCCAGCCGCCGCGGUAACACCGGCGGCUCGAGUGGUAACCGUUAUUAUUGGGUCUAAAGGGUCUGUAGCCGGCCGGAUAAGUCUCUUGAGAAAUCUGGCAGCUUAACUGUCAGGCUUUCAGGAGAUACUGUCUGGCUCGAGGCCGGGAGAGGUGAGAGGUACUUCAGGGGUAGGGGUGAAAUCUUGUAACCCUUGAAGGACCACCAGUGGCGAAGGCGUCUCACCAGAACGGACCUGACGGCAAGGGACGAAAGCUAGGGGCACGAACCGGAUUAGAUACCCGGGUAGUCCUAGCCGUAAACGAUACUCGCUAGGUGUCGGCCACGGUGCGACCGUUGUCGGUGCCGUAGGGAAGCCGUGAAGCGAGCCACCUGGGAAGUACGGCCGCAAGGCUGAAACUUAAAGGAAUUGGCGGGGGAGCAC
rnacentral:rRNA from 1 species